CUGGUGUGCAGGUGUCCGCCAUCAGUAACAGCCACAGUCAGCACUUCCCGGCCCGGUGCGGUCUGUCUGCGUCAGGGGCGUGCCAAGCCCGGUCCACGUUUUCUCACUUAAUCCCUACACCGUCCCUAGGAGGGCGGCAGGCGUUUUGCAUUUUGUAUUUACAUCACUGAAGUUCAGAGAGGCCAAGUCACCCGGCGAUGGAGAAAGCCCUUCUGCAUCAAGUCGGCCCCCCACCCCUUCAUGAGACAGUGAGGAGGAGAAAGAAGCAGAAGGGGUAGAGACCAAGGUUAUUAUUGACACGGUCUCUCUGCGUCUCAGGCCUCCUGUCCCAGCCUCCCAGUUAGCUAAGAUGACAGAAUCGCUGGAUGCAUUUUUCUGAACUCAGUGGAAGGCUGCCCCGGGAGGUAGAAGGAGAAAUGUGUGAGCCCAGGCCGGCCAGGCACCAGAUUCACCUCCUAAACGUCUUCACAGCGCUCCUCUCCCUGCCCACCACGCCCACCGCCUGGAUUCAGCUGCUCUCAGCUGUUCCGACAACAGAACCACCUGGCCAGGCUGUGGGGGCUGUUUCUAAACUUUUUCAUGGAUUGAAAUUUGUUACUAAGUUACACAUUUGUAUCAUUUAAAAUUCCAAAUAAACCUGAG